GGAGAGGUGCCCGAGCCUGGCUGAAGGGGCACGAUUGGAAAUCGUGUGUCGGGGCAAAAACCCCGACCGUGGGUUCAAAUCCCACCCUCUCCG
rnacentral:tRNA from 1 species